CAUUAACUGAGUUAAAGAGUGUAGGUUAAUUGGAAGGAAAUUUCCAGUAACAAAGCAGUUUGAUUGAAAUGUUAACUCUUACCCAUUUCAUUAUUGGAUUCAUUGUUUAAGGAUGAAGAUAUCUAUGCAUUUUUUGAGCCUGAGCUUCCUAGUGAAUCACCUGGUAUGGUAAAAUCCAAGUCACCAGACCCUGUUGGCUUACCUGUACCAAAAGUUCCCAGUGGUAGAACCCGUUCCAAGGGUCACCUUAAGAAACAACGCUCCAUGUCAGCUUUGGAAUGGAACAGUCUGGGAAGUGCUGGUUGGCGGCCAAUU
rnacentral:misc_RNA from 1 species